UCUGCAUUGAAGUUAGGUAAUUCAAAAUAUGCCAUUUUGAAACCCAGGAUUGCACAUUUGGGGAUUUUGUUAUGAAAUGAACUGCUAGCUAUUUCGAGCAGACUAAUUGACAUGUUAGGAGAGAGGAUAUAUCAUAGCCAAUAGGAGGCUAAUUGACAAGAACACGCUUGAGUUUGAGAAGUAUAAUGUCCUUAGCUAUCCAAUUUUUUAUUCUCAAGUUUUACAAUUGGGAUAUGAGCCUAUGUUCGACACCUUAUUUGUUGCUGUCAGAGAAAUGGCUAAACAAGCUCUUUACUAUUAUAUUUUGCAAAAAUCAUCUUCUAUUAACAUCAAGUAUCAUCAGAUAAUGUAUAUUUUCUAAAUUCUUACUCAUAUAACUCCUAAUACAUAGCCAAAUAAACUUACAUGGAGAUAAGAUAGCAAUAACAACAAAGUUAGGCAUCAGCUAAGUGAAAAUGAAGGGACGACGAGGAUUGUCAUGUUGGCACGAUCCUCAGUCCCUCACUGCCUGGAAAUCUCACCAUCUUAAGUCAUUAACAUUU
rnacentral:lncRNA from 1 species